rnacentral:rRNA from 1 species
AUUGAACGCUGGCGGCAUGCCUUACACAUGCAAGUCGAACGGUAACAGGUUAAGCUGACGAGUGGCGAACGGGUGAGUAAUGUAUCGGAACGUGCCCAGUCGUGGGGGAUAACUACUCGAAAGAGUGGCUAAUACCGCAUACGACCUGAGGGUGAAAGCGGGGGACCGGAAGGCCUCGCGCGAUUGGAGCGGCCGAUAUCAGAUUAGCUAGUUGGUGGGGUAAAAGCCCACCAAGGCGACGAUCUGUAGCUGGUCUGAGAGGACGACCAGCCACACUGGGACCGAGACACGGCCCAGACUCCUACGGGAGGCAGCAGUGGGGAAUUUUGGACAAUGGACGCAAGUCUGAUCCAGCCAUGCCGCGUGCGGGAAGAAGGCCUUCGGGUUGUAAACCGCUUUUGUCAGGGAAGAAACGAGUUUCUCUAAUACAGAGACUUAAUGACGGUACCUGAAGAAUAAGCACCGGCUAACUACGUGCCAGCCGCCGCCGUAAUAC